UGGGGAAUAUUGCGCAAUGGACGAAAGUCUGACGCAGCGACGCCGCGUGUGGGAUGAAGCUCUUCGGGGUGUAAACCACUGUUGCCAGGGAAGAACCUCCCCUUUCGAGGGGACUGACGGUACCUGGUGAGGAAGCACCGGCUAACUCUGUGCCAGCAGCCGCGGUAAUACAGAGGGUGCGAGCGUUGUCCGGAAUCACUGGGCGUAAAGGGCGCGUAGGUGGCGGGAUAAGUGUGCGGUGAAAGCCCGGGGCUCAACCCCGGGUCUGCCGUGCAGACUGUCUUGCUCGAGCGUAGUAGAGGCAGGUGGAAUUCCGGGUGUAGCGGUGGAAUGCGUAGAGAUCCGGAAGAACACCGGUGGCGAAGGCGGCCUGCUGGGCUACUGCUGACACUGAGGCGCGACAGCGUGGGGAGCAAACAGGAUUAGAUACCCCCGUAGUCC
rnacentral:rRNA from 1 species